rnacentral:rRNA from 1 species
CUACGGGCGGCAGCAGUGGGGAAUAUUGGACAAUGGGCGAAAGCCUGAUCCAGCCAUGCCGCGUGUGUGAAGAAGGCCUUCGGGUUGUAAAGCACUUUCAGUGGGGAAGAAAGCCUUGGGGCUAAUACCCUCGAGGAAGGACAUCACCCACAGAAGAAGCACCGGCUAACUCCGUGCCAGCAGCCGCGGUAAUACGGAGGGUGCGAGCGUUAAUCGGAAUUACUGGGCGUAAAGCGCGCGUAGGCGGUCUGAUAAGCCGGUUGUGAAAGCCCCGGGCUCAACCUGGGAAUGGCAUCCGGAACUGUCAGGCUAGAGUGCAGGAGAGGAAGGUAGAAUUCCCGGUGUAGCGGUGAAAUGCGUAGAGAUCGGGAGGAAUACCAGUGGCGAAGGCGGCCUUCUGGACUGACACUGACGCUGAGGUGCGAAAGCGUGGGUAGCAAACAGGAUUAGAUACCCUGGUAGUC